UACGUAGGGGGCAAGCGUUGUCCGGAUUUAUUGGGCGUAAAGCGCGUGUAGGCGGCCAGGUAGGUCCGCUGUGAAACCCGAGGCUCAACCUCGGGACGCGGCGGAAACCAUCUGGCUAGAGUCCGGAAGAGGAGAGUGGAAUUCCCGGUGUAGCGGUGAAAUGCGCAGAUAUCGGGAAGAACACCCGUGGCGAAGGCGACUUCCUGGCCUGUUCUUGACGCUGAGGCGCGAAAGCUGGGGGAGCAAACGGG
rnacentral:rRNA from 1 species